CCUACGGGUGGCAGCAGUGAGGAAUAUUGGUCAAUGGGCGCGAGCCUGAACCAGCCAAGCAGCGUGAAGGAUGACUGCCCUACGGGUUGUAAACUUCUUUUAUAAAGGAAUAAAGUGAGGCACGUGUGCCUUUCUGUAUGUACUUUACGAAUAAGGAUCGGCUAACUCCGUGCCAGCAGCCGCGGUAAUACGGAGGAUCCGAGCGUUAUCCGGAUUUAUUGGGUUUAAAGGGAGCGUAGAUGGGUUGUUAAGUCAGUUGUGAAAGUUUGCGGCUCAACCGUAAAAUUGCAAUUGGUACUGGCAGCCUGGAGAGCAGUUGAGGUAGGCGGAAUUCGUGGUGUAGCGGUGAAAUGCUUAGAUAUCACGAAGAACUCCGAUUGCGAAGGCAGCCUACUAAGCUGCCACUGACAUUGAUGCUCGAAAGUGUGGGGAUCAAACAGGAUUAGAUACCCUUGUAGUC
rnacentral:rRNA from 1 species